rnacentral:rRNA from 1 species
ACAUCCAGAGAACUUAGCAGAGAUGCUUUGGUGCCUUCGGGAACUCUGAGACAGGUGCUGCAUGGCUGUCGUCAGCUCGUGUUGUGAAAUGUUGGGUUAAGUCCCGNAACGAGCGCAACCCUUUAUCCUUUGUUGCCAGCGGUUCGGCCGGGAACUCAAAGGAGACUGCCGGUGAUAAACCGGAGGAAGGUGGGAUGACGUCAAGUCAUCAUGGCCCUUACGGCCAGGGCUACACACGUGCUACAAUGGCGCAUACAAAGAGAAGCGACCUCGCGAGAGCAAGCGGACCUCAUAAAGUGCGUCGUAGUCCGGAUUGGAGUCUGCAACUCGACUCCAUGAAGUCGGAAUCGCUAGUAAUCGUAGAUCAGAAUGCUACGGUGAAUACGUUCCCGGGCCUUGUACACACCGCCCGUCACACCAUGGGAGUGGGUUGCAAAAGAGGUAGGUAGCUUAACCUUCGGGAGGGCGCUUACCACUUUGUGAUUCAUGACUGGGGUGAAGUCGUAACAAGGUAGGCGUAGCGAG